UGGCUUCCCAGUGAGGUGAUGAAGAGGUUUGAGCUUUAGAGUGCGGUUGCAAAGCUCUUCUCUGACCUGAACAAUGGCUGUAGCUGUGGACCAACAAAUCCAGACUCCUUCAGUACAAGAUCUCCAAAUAGUUAAACUGGAAGAAGAUUCCCACUGGGAGCAGGAAAUUUCCCUUCAAGGGAAUUACCCUGGACCAGAGACAUCCUGCCAGAGCUUUUGGCAUUUCCGUUACCAAGAAGCAUCACGACCCCGAGAGGCCCUCCUCCAGCUCCAGAAGCUCUGUUGUCAGUGGCUAAGGCCAGAGAAGUGUACAAAAGAGCAGAUCCUGGAGUUGCUGGUCCUAGAACAGUUCCCGACUGUCCUUCUCCAGGAGAUCCAGAUCUGGGUCAGACAGCAGCAUCCGGAGAGUGGAGAGGAGGCAGUGGCCCUGGUGGAAGACUUGCAGAAAGAACCUGGAAGACAGAGGCUGGAGGUGAGCUAUAAAAACAUAGUUCCGAACAGUUAAAAUAGAGCCCUGCCUGAUGUGGCUCUGGGAAUUCCUGCAGAGAAGAGCAGGGGUGGCCAGGAGAUAGUGAGCAGCUCCCAGGAGGCAUGGAGGGAUCCA
rnacentral:lncRNA from 1 species